GAUUACCUGCGUGAGGGAUUGCAGAGAAAAGCCCACAGCGCGGGCGGGAUAGCGGGACGGCAAAGCGAGGACUUGUAACGGAAAGCCCGACCCAUC
rnacentral:sRNA from 1 species